rnacentral:lncRNA from 10 species
CUCUCACCUGGGUUUCAUUAUUCACUUCUGCGUUCUCUCUCUCUCUUUUUUCUUAACUUUUUAUUCUUUUCAUAAAUCUUGUUGCCCCAAACUCAGAUUUGUGGAGCCUCUCAGUUUAAAUGACUAAUGGACUAGCUGUAGUUUUUGAGUCCCUAUUCCAAAUUAUUGAAGGAACAAACAAAGUUCUCUGGCUUGCACCCACAGUCCACUCUGGUUUCAGCCAUCUCUAGCCUGGCUCAGCAGGCCUGGAGGGAUGAUGCUGUCGACUCGUAGGCCAUGAGUUCCACUCCUUAAUGGGCAGGUAGGAGCAACUAUGAUGACAAGCUAGGCCCAGAGAAGAGGACAUGAGCCAGGCCAGCACCACAGAUAUCUCUUCCUCCAAGGAGCCU